rnacentral:rRNA from 1 species
GACGAACGCUGGCGGCGUGCCUAAUACAUGCAAGUAGAACGCUGAAGGAGGAGCUUGCUUCUCCGGAUGAGUUGCGAACGGGUGAGUAACGCGUAGGUAACCUGCCUGGUAGCGGGGGAUAACUAUUGGAAACGAUAGCUAAUACCGCAUAACAGUAGAUAUUGCAUGAUAUCUGCUUGAAAGGUGCAAUUGCAUCACUACCAGAUGGACCUGCGUUGUAUUAGCUAGUUGGUGGGGUAACGGCUCACCAAGGCGACGAUACAUAGCCGACCUGAGAGGGUGAUCGGCCACACUGGGACUGAGACACGGCCCAGACUCCUACGGGAGGCAGCAGUAGGGAAUCGUCGGCAAUGGACGGAAGUCUGACCGAGCAACGCCGCGUGAGUGAAGAAGGUUUUCGGAUCGUAAAGCUCUGUUGUAAGAGAAGAACGAGUGUGAGAGUGGAAAGUUCACACUGUGACGGUAUCUUACCAGAAAGGGACGGCUAACUACGUG